UAAGGAAUAUUGCGCAAUGGGCGACAGCCUGACGCAGCGACGCCGCGUGGGGGAUGAAGGUCUUCGGAUUGUAAACCCCUUUCGGCAGGGAAGAUGGAACGGGUAACCGUUCGGACGGUACCUGCAGAAGCAGCCACGGCUAACUUCGUGCCAGCAGCCGCGGUAAUACGAAGGUGGCAAGCGUUGUUCGGAUUUACUGGGCGUACAGGGAGCGUAGGCGGUUGGGUAAGCCUUUCGUGAAAUCUCCGGGCCUAACCCGGAAAGUGCGGAGGGGACUGCUCGGCUAGAGGAUGGGAGAGGAGCGCGGAAUUCCCGGUGUAGCGGUGAAAUGCGUAGAGAUCGGGAGGAAGGCCGGUGGCGAAGGCGGCGCUCUGGAACAUAUCUGACGCUGAGGCUCGAAAGCGUGGGGAGCAAACGGGAUUAGAUACCCUUGUAGUCCCUGAGCGGGCUGGCAAGGCGCAU
rnacentral:rRNA from 1 species